ACGUAGGGGGCGAGCGUUGUCUGGAUUUAUUGGGCGUAAAGAGCUCGUAGGCGGUUUGGCAAGUCGGGUGUGAAAACUCCGGGCUCAACUCGGAGACGCCACUCGAUACUGCCAUGACUCGAGUCCGGUAGGGGAGUGCGGAAUUCCUGGUGUAGCGGUGAAAUGCGUAGAUAUCUGGAGGAACACCGGUGGCGAAGGCGGCAUCCUGGACCGGCAUUGACGCUGAGGCGCGAAAGCCAGGGGAGCAAACGGGA
rnacentral:rRNA from 1 species